rnacentral:rRNA from 1 species
GACGAACGCUGGCGGCGUGCUUAACACAUGCAAGUCGAACGGUAAGGCCCUUCGGGGUACACGAAUGGCGAACGGGUGAGUAACACGUGGGUGAUCUGCCCUGCACUUCGGGAUAAGCCUGGGAAACUGGGUCUAAUACCGGAUAGGACUCCGGACUGCCUGGUCUGGGGUGGAAAGCUUUUGCAGUGUGGAUGGGCCGACGGCCUACCAGCUUGUUGGUGGGGUGAUGGCCUACCAAGGCGACGACGGGUAGCCGGCCUGAGAGGGUGACCGGCCACACUGGGACUGAGAUACGGCCCAGACUCCUACGGGAGGCAGCAGUGGGGAAUAUUGCACAAUGGGCGCAAGCCUGAUGCAGCGACGCCGCGUGAGGGAUGACGGCCUUCGGGUUGUAAACCUCUUUCAGCAUCGACGAAGCGAAAGUGACGGUAGGUGCAGAAGAAGGACCGGCCAACUGCGUGCCAGCCGCCGCCGUAA